AAUCUUCAGGGCAGGGUGUAAUUCCCGAUCGGCGGUAUAGUCCGCGAACGCCUCGGCGUAGGAGCUAAUGCUCGUGAUUUGGUGCAAUUCCAAAACCGACAGUAUAGUCUGGAUGGAAGAAGAU
rnacentral:ncRNA from 1 species